rnacentral:tRNA from 2 species
GGUCCUAUGGUGUAAUGGUUAGCACUCUGGACUUUGAAUCCAGCGAUCUGAGUUCAAAUCUCGGUAGGACCU